rnacentral:rRNA from 1 species
UACACGACCGUACCGCAAACCGACACUGGUGCGCGAGAUGAGUAUUCUAAGGCGCUUGAGAGAACUCAGGAGAAGGAACUCGGCAAAUUGACACCGUAACUUCGGAAGAAGGUGUGCCUUUAGUAGGUGAACCAUUUACUUGGGGAGCCCAAUGAGGCUGCAAAAAAUCGGUGGCUGCAACUGUUUAUUAAAAACACAGCACUCUGCUAAGACGAAAGUCGACGUAUAGGGUGUGACGCCUGCCCGGUGCUGGAAGAUUAAAUGAUGGGGUGCAAGCUCUUGAUUGAAGUCCCAGUAAACGGCGGCCGUAACUAUAACGGUCCUAAGGUAGCGAAAUUCCUUGUCGGGUAAGUUCCGACCUGCACGAAUGGCGUAAUGAUGGCCACACUGUCUCCUCCUGAGACUCAGCGAAGUUGAAAUGUUUGUGAUGAUGCAAUCUCCCCGCGGAAAGACGGAAAGACCCCAUGAACCUUUACUGUAGCUUUGUAUUGGACUUUGAACAGAUCUGUGUAGGAUAGGUGGGAGGCUUUGAAGUGUGGUCGCUAGAUCGCAUGGAGCCAACGUUGAAAUACCACCCUGGUGUGUUUGAGGUUCUAACCUAGGUCCAUUAUCUGGAUCGGGGACAGUGCAUGGUAGGCAGUUUGACUGGGGCGGUCUCCUCCCAAAGUGUAACGGAGGAGUUCGAAGGUACGCUAGGUACGGUCGGACAUCGUGCUAAUAGUGCAAUGGCAUAAGCGUGCUUAACUGCGAGACUGACAAGUCGAGCAGAUGCGAAAGCAGGACAUAGUGAUCCGGUGGUUCUGUAUGGAAGGGCCAUCGCUCAACGGAUAAAAGGUACUCUGGGGAUAACAGGCUGAUACCGCCCAAGAGUUCAUAUCGACGGCGGUGUUUGGCACCUCGAUGUCGGCUCAUCUCAUCCUGGGGCUGUAGCCGGUCCCAAGGGUAUGGCUGUUCGCCAUUUAAAGAGGUACGUGAGCUGGGUUUAAAACGUCGUGAGACAGUUUGGUCCCUAUCUUCCGUGGGCGCUGCAGAUUUGAGGAAGCCUGCUCCUAGUACGAGAGGACCGGAGUGGACGAACCUCUGGUGUAUCGGUUGCCACGCCAGUGGCAUUGCCGAGUAGCUAAGUUCGGAAGAGAUAACCGCUGAAAGCAUCUAAGCGGGAAACUCGUUUCAAGAUUAGAUCUGCCGGGGCCUUGAGCCCCCUAAAGAGUCGUUCAAGACCAGGACGUUGAUAGGUCAGGUGUGGAAGCCA